rnacentral:ncRNA from 1 species
CUCUGAGUGUGUUUCAGGGCAAAAGGAG